UGGAGGCUGCGGCUGCUGCCGCCUCCCGCGGCUCGGCGCUGUGCCGGGCUGCCCGGGCCGGCCCCGCCGCGGGGCCUCGCCUCGCACGCGCCGCUCCCCGCGCGGGGCCGCCGGCGGCCGCCGCUGAUCCUCCUGCCGAUCCUCCUGCCGCUGCCUCCGCCCGCCAUUGGCCGUAAACAACCCUUCCCCCUUCCCCUCCCUGCCGCUCCCCGUCCCCUCCUUCCUCCGCGGGAGAGCCGGGAGCCGCGGCGGACUGGCGAGCGGGGCUGCGCUUCUCCCCGGGCGUGCGCCCAGCCAGCGGCGCCGGGGCCGCCCCCGCCGGCGGGCUCGCCGCAGCCCCCCCGCGUCUGCGGCGGCUGCCCCCGUCCCGCCCUGCUGGGCCGGACUGUGCCCGCCGGCUGCCGCGCUCCGGCCGAGGGUGCGUGGGUCGCCCCGGGCGGCUGGGCAGCUUCUCCUCCAUGCGCCGCGGCUGCCCGGCUGCCCCGCGGAGCGCGCCCUUCCCGCCGGGCGCGGGGGGCGGGCGGAGGCCGCGCCGUGAGGGGCCCGGCGGAGGAUGCCGGUGGGCGGCGGACCGGCGCGGCCCCCCGGCGGGGCGCGCUCCCUCAGCCCCACCGCGCUGUCCCGCAGCCUGUCCCGCUUGCGCGAGCACCGCGCCCGCUCGCGGGCCAUGCUGGCGCUGGGGGUCACGCAGAUGGUGCUCGGCUGCCUCAUCGUGGCCGUCAGCUUCGCCGCCCUGGCGCUCACCACCUCGGCCCGCGUCCGCCACUCCUGCCCCUUCUGGGCCGGCUUCUCGGUGCUGUUAUCAGGACUGAUUGGUGUUGUUUCAUGGAAGAGGCCCCUUUCACUUGUGAUAACCUUUUUCAUGCUGCUGUCUGCAGUGUGCGUUAUGCUGAAUUUGGCUGGUUCCAUUCUCUCUUGUCAGAACGCUCAGCUGGUAAACUCCCUGGAAGGAUGUCAGUUGAUUAAAUUCGACAGUGAUGGUGUCUGUGUUUGCUGUGAAAUGCAGCAUCAAACUUCAGGCUGCAGUAACUUGGGAGAAACUCUGAAACUGAACCCACUGCAGGAGUGUAAUGUUGUGAGGCUGACCCUAAAGGACCUGUUGUUCAGUGUGUGCGCUCUCAAUGUCAUCUCCACCAUUGUCUGUGCUCUGGCAACAGCAAUGUGUUGCAUGCAGAUGGUUUCUUCUGAUCUUCUGCAAAUGUCUCCCUCUUACAGCCUUUUUCACUUUAAUUUCCGUGCCUUCCAGCAGGAUGAUAUCACACAGUUUCUGCCACAGAGGCCACAUUCUAGCCAUCCUGACUGCAUGACUCCACAUGGAACUAUCCUGCACCAAACCUUGGAUUUUGAUGAGUUCAUACCGCCAAUACCGCCUCCACCCUACUACCCACCAGAAUAUACCUGCACACCAGUGAUAGAGGCACAGAGAGGUCUCCAUUUGGAUUUUCCUCAUUCCACAUUCAGUGCUUUAUAUGAAGUAACCAUUAACAGCCCAGGAAUGCUGUAUCCAGCUGAGCUGCCCCCUCCUUAUGAGGCAGUGAUUGGAGAGAUGCCUGCCAGCCAGGUCACUGCUGCUGAUCAGCAAGUAUCUGAAUCAAGCUUGGGUGAGAGGAACAACAUGACUCUGGACUUCAGCACACAAGUUUCUGUUGAGAGCACCUCCUUGAUGGUCUCUGAGGCUGUUGAUAUCCCAGACCGUAGCUGCUCCUCUGAAGAUCUUUGUUCACUGGAAGUUCAAGGAUCUCUCCAUUCUGCAGAGCUUUCUCCUUAUUGUACAAGCCCCAAAGGAGCUGUGGACCAGAGCUGCCGCACUCUGGAUUACAACACCUGCUUCAGGUUCCACAGAACUCGCUCUGAGGGUUUUCCUGAUGAGGAUGAUGGCUCCCACAGCCGAGCCUCCACAGACAGGUCUCAAGGACAAGAAAAGAACUGUGCCCAUGGCAUGUCCUUGGACUGUUCCUUGGAGAAUUUUAGCCCCUCAGAAAGAGAACUACAGAAUUCUGUUAGAGAAAGCAAUGCCACAUCACCUUGGAAGCAAAAGAAAACCUGCUGUGUGGACUUCAGCCAGCCUCCUGUCCUUUCCCAGACCUCUCCCUGUUUUGGGCCCACAAAUACUUCAUCAUACGCAAGUGGCCAUGAGAGUGCUGUCCAGCAGCAUCACAUUACAAAAUACCGAAUUUCAAAUAUAGUCCGAUCGACUAGUGACCCUGUAUCAUGUUCAUCUUAUACGGAAGGUGAUAAUUGUGCCUGGACUCCCGUAUGUAGCCAGCGUCAAGACGCGGGAUUAUCACCAGCUACAUUAGAAACAGUUCCUGUUUCUGCUUCUCAUAUGGCUGCCUCUGCUUGUCAGCAUUCUUUGAGCAGUUUCCUACCGACUGGAAAACAGAGGGAUACAAGGAAAAUUAAUCUACACUUAAAGCCAAAGGCUUUGCACGCAGUCUCAAAAGAGCGACCACACUCUUUAGUGGACCUUAAGGCCUAUAAAGACACAAAAAUUUUAGUGGCAAAAUUUUUGGAACAUUCAAACUGUAAUCUCCCUCCAGAAGUACGUCACGUAGUGAACAGCAUUCGAUCAGUAAUAAAAUCUGAUGAGAGACACAUGGAAGAAGCCAUCUUCAGUGCCAAUAUUAUAGAGCAGGUAAUUACAAGUUCCCAGCAGAACGUGAAUACCUCUAGAAAGCGACUUCAAGAAGAUCUGCACCUUCAGAGCUGUGGUGCUCUGAGCUCUCCAGUUGCCUUCUUACGUAGGUCCCGUAUCACUCGCAGUUUAGAGCGGGACAGGCCUCACAGUUGCAUUGGAGUUUGCCGGGAGACCAUCCUUUGAUAAUAUUCACAGGUUGGAAAAGGGUACUCUGCUCUCCAGAGCCACUGCUUUUCUCCAUGUUUUAUGGUGCUGCUGGCCAUAGGGAGCUUAGGAUGAAGAAAGCAAGCCAGGCCACUGUUUCAGCUGGCAGCUGCAGACCUCUCUCUACUCAAGUGCAGAGCAUUAAUCCCAAACAUGACACAUACUUUAAACCUCUGCUGCUGAAGGAUCGCAACCUGGGACUGGAGGAAGAGGAGAUGGUGAUGGUCCUGCACUACAGGCAGUCCCUAAGGCUAGUAUCAGCCCCCAGAAAGGCCAGGUGACUGCCUCAGCUAGUUGUGUUGGCAAGGUGUCAGAGAGUGGCUUGGGAAGGAAGAACUACAAGAGGAGGACCUGGAGCUGCACUGGACUGUAUGUUGUUCUUCACCACGUGACUGUGCUGUCCCUCCUCACCCCCUACUGUCUACAUGUCACCACCGGACUUGAGGUGCUCAUCCUCUCUACCUGGAACCACCUUUGCUCCUGCUCAGUUUCAUACCUGCCAGACCCUGCUGUCAGGUGAGUGAAGCGUCUGUGUCCUGUUCCAGCAUUCACACCAUGUGUGUGCUUCUGUGUGACAGGAGACUGCAGGAGGCUCGGGAGAGGUCAUUUCAAUAGCAGGCUGCCAGGACAAUUCAUUCAGCCUCAAAUGUAGCUGGUGUGCUGUACUGAAUCCAGUCUCUUGCCAUGGGUUGAACAAGGUUCUUAGGGACAUAGUUUAGUGCCAGAGUUAGGUUAGGAUUGGACUUGAUGAUUCUGAGGGUUCUAUGAUUCUAUCUUUGUUUUAAGGCAAAAAGGAGUCAAAAAUCUGUUUUUAUGGGACAUUUCAAACCUGAGCUUUAUAGAUGCUGCUUACUUUAAAACCUUGUGCUAAGUACUUACAUUAAUGAAGAUAAAUCUCUUUAUUGAAACAAAGACCAAGAAAGGGCUUCCAAACCAUGCUUUGUUAGCAUUGUUUUCUAUCAUUUCUCUAUGUAUUUUGCCAUUGUAGAGAUGAACUGUUCCCUUCUUUAAGAAACAGAAAGGGCCCAUCUGAAAAAUUCCUUCUUGCUGGGGUCAUUGGUCAGUUUGGAGGGUUUUACAGACUUCUAUUUAUUGCUUAAACUGGAAACAACCAGAAGCAUAAUAGUUUUAUUGAUCCAACUCGCUGAGGAUGUCCCCUUCCCCCUUCACCCGCCUGCACAGCUAGAAACAUCCACCAAAUUCUGCCUCAUUUGGAAUUAAUGGAAUACUUACUAUUGAAUCAAUUUGUUUACUUUGUGACCUCUGUUAGUUUUAAGUCAGUAAAUUGCUUUCUGGUGUCUAAAAUAUCUUUGGUUCUUGGCCAAGACUGAGGUUGUCUCUGCUGGUUUUGGCAGCCGUGUGAAUACAUAUGUGGAUAUUUCUAAUGUGAAGAAAGAAAAACUGACUACUGGUUUGUGGUUUUUUUGGUUGGUUUUUUGUUGUUGGUUUGGGUUUGGUUUGUUGUUUGUUGUGGUUUUUUUCUAAUAUGACAUUUUGGGGUUUUUUGUUGUGUUUUUGUUGUUGUUGUUGUUUGGUUUGGUUUCUUUUUUUAAUUAUCUGCUAGUGGCUCUUGAUUUGUAUUGGAGUAUCUCCCUGAGCAGCGUGAGGUCAGUUUUCAUCCAACUGACCCAUAUAAGAAGACUGAGAUAGCCUCCUUGCCUUGUCUCUAGUGGCAGGGUAUCCCCUGACAUCUGAUCUUCCAAGAAACACUGCAAUGUGGUAUGAGCUAAUACACUAUUUGCAUCAUUUAUAUAAGCAGCAGCAUCCUUUAAAACAACAGCUAUGUAUUAGUUUGCCAUUAGUUGAACAAACCUCGAAGGCCUAAGAGAGGAAGAUUGUUCCUCAAGUUGACAAGAGUAAUUGUUUUAAGAAUUUCAGUACAAUUUCAAUUGACAGAGAGAGAAAAAUAUCAAUAACCACUGUUUCUUAGAACCACCUGUGCUACUGAAGAGAAUCACUACCCAUAAAAUUAUUGCAAUGGUUCUUCUCAGGCUUGAAGUAAGAUGUUCUAUGCUCAUCCCUAAACUAUGAAAAGUGAUAAUGGUUAAGAGAUGGUUUGGGGGGUGUCUCUUAGGGUUGCAGGGGCUCAGCAGGAUUUAUAGCACUUAUCUCAGUAUGGAAAAAUGUUUUAUAAUGGACAUCUCUCAGCAGGAUCUUGGGAGCUCUGCAGAGAUAAUUGCUUUUCAGCAGUGUGCACUAAGUAUUCUGUAAGGGUGUAAUCAUACAGGCAGUGUACACAGAGUGAACGGACUGGGAAAACGAAUGCAUUUAAUCUCACCUGCCAAGAAAGUCCUUCUGUCCUUAUCACCACACAGAAGUUACUCGAAGGUUGUUUUGUAUUUUCCUCUUGUAGGGGUGAAAGCAGUCAUUCCCCCACUCCCUCCCAGCUUUUUCAGGUCUGAUGCAAUUACAAUUAGGAAUAAGGCAAAUAAUAUCUAGUGUUUGUAAACAUGUCUUUACUUUUUACUUACUCCUGACUUGACUUUUUCCUUUCUCGCUCCAUACUCCAUUCUGCUCUAUUUUCCAUUACCAUUAUCUCAUUUUCACUGUCUCUCCUCCUUUGUUAUUUUCCCAUGAAUCCCUCCAUCUCUACUUAUCUUCUUCUCUAUUCUUUCCCUCAUCCCUUUUCUAGUCCCAUCCAUUCCAUCCUUGUUAUCCUUGUAUUUCUCCUUAGAAGUUCAGCCUCUCUUGGCCUUUUUGAAAACUUCUAUCUUCUCCUGUUUAGAUUCCCCUUUCUAAGAAUCACCCUUCCUUUCUCUUUUAGAAUCCUGUUUGUUAUCCCUCUUGAAACACAAAGAACACCUGAAGGAGAAAACCCUAAGUAUUUUUCCAAGCUUCCAGGUGAUGUAGUCCUGUGGGAGUGUGAAUGAGACAGCCUAACAACUGAGAAGGUUUUAUGGAACCAAUCCUCUACCAGAGGCUCUGCACGUACACAUUUGCAACCUCUGCAUCUUUCUUUUCUCUGCCAGUCUUCUCAGUUGCCUCCCUCCCAGCUUCACUGAAGGAGCAAGAAGAUGGGAGAGGCUGCUGUGAUAUCUCUGCUGUUUCCGUGCACUGACUGCGAGACUGUAAAGCUGCAGCAGUCAGGGAAGAAUUACUCUUGUAUGAAGCAGGCAUGUGGCCAAACCCAAGGUUGCUCUUACCACAUUUACUAAACAGGGGUCAUCUUGGGCUGAAUGUAUUUGGUAACUAAAUGUAUAAGCAACUAAAAGUGGCAGGGGUGCCAUUUCCUAGUGUUGCUGAGGGUAAGACAAUCACCAGAGCUGGCUCUGUUCCAACAUGGCAAUGUACCUUACUGGUGCUACUCAGCAUUUUGAACCCUGCUGCAUGUCAUUUUUCAACUGAGGAUUUUACAUUUUAUAUCAGCUGCUACCUCAUGUGUGCUAUACAACACUACAGAUGGAUUAAAACACGGAUGGCAUGCUGCAGAAAUACGUUUUAUAUAAUUGAUAAAGCUAUGAAAGAACAGAUUGUCUCUGCCAGCUGCCACACCAGCUGAAAUAGACCUGUGGUAAUUGCACCAGUUGGGAAACUUCACUAGCACUGAAAAAUAUUACCAAGCCAAAAAUGCAAAAGCAUGCCAGCAGCAAUGCCCAGGGCAAAAGCCAGAGAGCUUGUAGUUAAAAUUAUUUCCAAUAUUGCUAUUUUCAUCUAGUUAAACAACUCACACUAGAUACCAUUCCUCAUGGUGCAUUGCAUUUUAUAUCACUAGAAAUCUCAAGGCAAUCAGAAAAAGAUAACAGUUACUUGACAAAAGUGUUUGUGGUCUGCCUCAAAGGACUUUACUUUUUUACCUUAAAAGGAUUGGUGUUCAGCUGAAAUGCUGAGCUAUUUGAAGAAGGGAAAGAGUGACUUCCACGAAGACUAGUCCUUACUCAACAAAGAGAACUUAUCUAUUUACUCCCAUACAUUCCAUGUUCAUUUUUGAUAAUUGUCUGUAGCUAUCUGAUAAUUACUACCAUUUUAUUUCCUGCUAAUGCAAAAAGUAGGCAUGAGCUUUGAUAAUAUACUCUCUGGAUGAUGCACCUUUACCAUGUGGUCCAAAAAAGCCUGAGCCAUAACAAAUAGUGGUAUUGUUUAUCAUGGAUGAAAUGCAGUACAAUGCAGGACAAUUUAUGGAUGGCAGAUUGUAAUACUGCUGCCUGUGUCAGAUGGGAUAUUCUACUCCUCAUCCGGCUCCAUCUCUUGGGAGUUCCAGUGGCAUGUUAAUGACAUCUGCUUAUGCUAAAAGAAAAAUAAUCCAUUUACUAGAGAUACUAUCAUUACCCUCACAUUACAAGAUAGUAACACUCGAAUUGCAUCAUUAGAAAAACAAAUCGUAUGCUAACUAAAAAUGAAACAAAAUCCUAAAUGCAGAGUGCUACAUUUGUCUUUAUUGAAAUAUGUCCAAUAGUUUCAGCUUAUUUCUUCAGUUAGGUGUGAUAUUUCUGAACUCUUAUACACUAAGAUACAAGUUCAAUAACCAUUUUCUCUUUCCAUCGUCCAUUGUUUAUGAAAAUAUCGAACAGUACUACAGCAAAGAAACAUGCCCAUGAGUCUCCCUCUGCUCUUCAGUUCUUUAUCUUGCCAUCUAUAUGGCAAUAUAUCAGAAAUAAGUACACUCCAAAUUUUUUAGUCUGCUGGUAUCUGUUGUAUAUAGAUCAUAUCAUCUAGAAAAUAUUAUAUGAGAUAAAAAGCCUUAUUUAAGUCAAUAGGUGAUGUGUGCUGCUUCUGUGCUAUGGACAAAUAUAUCCCCUGUCAUAAAAAGAUCUGACAUGAUUUACUUUUGAAAAAUCUGUGCUGACUCUUGCUCAUCUACUCACAAACUGCCUACCAGUGGUUUGUUUGGUUUGAUGUCUUUCUGACAGUUAAAUGCACUUAUAAUCCUUGGUGUGUUCUGCUACCAAAAAAAAACAACAAACACACCACUAACAAGCAACUCCUAAAUAUUGCCCUCAUAAGUUCUGGCAGAGUAUCACUGAAAGGAUAGCAUAAAGUCACUCCAGUCAUUCUUCCGGAUUACAAGAUGAGUUUUCUUGUUUGGCUGCGUCUGUCUUAACUAAGCACUUUCUAAAUGGUUUGUUCUUUAAUGUAUCUUGAGGUCUUACCAUUUUUCAACUGCUGUUAGCUGCAUACAGCAGAGUUUUUUAGUGAAAACUAAAGCAAAAAAUGUCACUAAGAUUGCCCUUUUCAAAGCCUGUCAUAAGUGUGAAAAUUUAAAGACUUUCUGUAAGUAUGAUCAAAGUCUAAGAAAUCUUGUGAGAUUAUUAUCCUAAAUAUUGGAAUCUGUGUAUAAAUUAUAUUCCUUUAAUGGUAAACUUGUUAAAACUUCCUACUUAUGAAGAUCAUCUCUUAUUGAAUAUAUAUAUAUGUAUUCCUAGAAGAUAAGACUGAUCAUUGCUGUGGUCUCCAAAUGCUUCUUUAAUAUGAAUAAUUACUAAUUUACCUUGGGCUAGGAGGAUGGUAGCUCAGAUAUGAUUUAUGGGAAAAUUGGAGGUUAAGUGUUGAAAAAUUGAAAUUUAGUAAAGUUUCCCACUAAUGGUAUAAGAGCCCAGUUUAACUCAACAUUAUUCUUGAGCAGUUUUAAUCAUAACUUACCUGUGUGUCUGCAUUUAAGACUUUGAUUCUCUGUGUGGAGAUGAACAGAUCCACUUCAGUCAAGGCCUGGGAAUCUCCCUCCGAAGUCUAAAAGACAGAUGCUUUGUUACAAGGGGAAUUUGAGUUUUCCCUUAUGAUGACAAAUUCACUGAUCGCUUCAAGCACAAUGUGAUGUGAAGCAAUCGCACUGUUAAACCACUACAAAGAUGGCUAUUCAAAGGUGUUUCUAAAUACAUGCAAAGAAUGCAUUUAGUCCAUAGAAAGAGUGAAGCAUACUCUGAUUUUGUGGGUAAGAGUGAAUUUUUGGAGCCCAUAGGACUGAGAGCUCAAACACUAAAAUUCUCUAUACCCAGAAUAGCAGUAUUUUGCUGGAUGAGCCUUAGUUCAAGUAAAAUUAAUCUGACUGAAUUAUAGGCAUAGCUAAGCCUUUAAAGCUACAGGGUAGGGUAGCAAAUACAUCAUUUUUCCUUGCAGUGUUUGAUCAAAGAACUGGUCUCUGGCCUGCAGAGCGAUGCCUGCCUCUAGCACAGGCUGCUGCAGUCUGGGGCCAUUUUAUUCUGAGGCUGCAAACGUGGGUGCUGCCCACCGGCUGCAAUAGCGCCCUGUGGACAAGCAGCCUGGAGGAACAAACAGGUUCCUGCUGGAACUCAGAGCAUACAAAGCAAGCACCUACUUGAGCAGAGAUUACUUACAUUGCUUUCAUCCAAGACCAUCACAAACAGCAAGAGUAAUUUUAGUGAUAUUUUUGUCAACCGUAUUUAGUUAACUAAAGUAUAGUUUUUAACCCAGUCAGAUGUCUCCUGUAUGAACUGUUCCAGCUACUACCUGGUAAAUUUAUUGUAUUUGUUUGUAAACAUUGACAAUAAUUUAAUAAAUACACAGUAAGUCACAGGCACAGGAAAUACAUCUUACUGCUUGGUUAGUAAACUAAAAAUAACCAUUACAUUAAAAAAAGAUCUCUCAGAUAACAUUGGCUGUAUAUCUGGACUAAACAAAUCACAGGUAUUCAACAGAAGAAGAGCAGCAGAUAGGCACUCCAUUAAUGAAUAAUGAAUAAAAUGAGUUCAUUUUAUUCCACCAGGUGCUCUACUACUUAACAAAGAAGAAACCAAAAUGACAACUUUAUGAGGGCCCAUAAUGAAAGACACAACACUCCAUGGAGAACAAGUACGACAAAAACAUAAGUUAACAUUAGCAUUCAAGAAAAACAGUUUACACACCGCUUUUUUCUUGAUUUUAGCCGCCUUUUGCAUCCUCUGGGGAGCAGCAUAAAAAAAGAAUGCAGACAGAUGUACACACAAAGAGGAAAGACAGUGUGGGAAGUCAGGGGAGCCUUUUGACGAUGAAUCCAGACUGUUAAAAAUUUGCGGGCAGUGAGAAAAGGAUGUGCAAGAGAGAAAGAUUUCUUUAUAUCUUAUGCAGUUCUCAAGCAUAAUUUGAUUUAAUGGCAUUACACGUUGUUAACUGAUUGCAAAAAAAGUGGUACCAAAGAGCGUUGUCUUUUAACAGCUGCUCAUAACAUUUAUCCUGCUAAAUAUACAGCAGUUUAAAAUGGCAGUACGUGCACUAUUUUAAACUCAAGGUUUUCUAUCCGUAUUAAUCAUAAGUCUACGUGUAAUUGUUAAACAAAUCGUAACUCAAGCUCUCUUCCAUGACUAUCUAAAGUAGUCAAGUAUCCCUGACAGAUUAGGAUUGUUAUUAAUACACAAAAUAGUUUUCAUAAGUUAAUUGCAGUCAACAAUUACUUACUGCUUGAAACAUCACAAUAUGCUUAAACAGAAAUUCAGAGGUUUGGAAAGUUUAAAGAACUGGACCUUUCUUGCCUUCCAUUUGUUUCUAAAUGCUGAAUCAGUCAUGACAGUCUCUUGCUAAGUAAACGAUUUUUCCAAACUGGUUUCCUUCAAAAACAUGCAAUUUUUAGCAAGUACAUACUUUAUUGACUAAGCACAUAACUCUUCUAUUAGCAUUUCAAUCUACCUCUUCACAGCAGAUUCACAAAAAAAUGUGAAAGAAAAAUAUCCAAGCUGGUUAAUUAACAAAAGAAAGCAUUUUUUUUACAUAGCUGUAUGAAGCAGUCUGUGCUACAUUAUUACACAGAAAUUGUUCACUGUAAAUAACACCAAAUCUACACACAACAGUAAUGAAUCUUCUUGUCCUAAAAAAGUAAUAAUUUGAUAUAUUGAGAGUAAUAUCCACAAUUUGUAGUAAAUUAAAGGAAUUAAUGACAUAAAAGGAAAACCACAGCCAAACAAAUAUCCUGUACUUUGCCACUGGAAUAUUUCCUAAUUACAAUCUGGAGUUUGUCUUUAAUACAUGAAUUCUUCAUACAGCUUCCAAACAAUUUUGAAUAGGCUCUGUAAUAAUUUAUAUUUUGUUCCUCAGGGAUGCUGUAAGUAUUUUCCUAAUUAGCACUGGAAACUAAUGGUAUUUACAGUACUAGAUCUAUAUGUGUGUUAGUGCACUUCAGAAUAGGUUUGAAGCUGCAGAUCCUGUGCUGUUUAGAGAUCAACUGUCAAAGGGUCAGAACGUAUUCUACAAACCAUGCAAAUGCCCUACCUUAACACGGCUCACUGCCUCUUGGGCCUGCAUCAUUCUUAUGUUUUUGGAAGGGUUGCGCUCAGAGAGCAGCUGCGUAGAGCCCAGGUAAUUGGCUGCAAAGAUGAUUCCAUCAAUGAGGUCUUCAGGUUCACAGGGUCCUGGAACUGACAUAAGACAUGUACAGUUACUGCCUUGCAAAAGAAGGUAGAGAGAUGCAAAACUGAAUAAAGGAUAUGGAGGCUUGAACAACCCUUUUAAUACAUCUUCUAAUAUCAAGCAGGUGAAGAAAUCCAGUGCAAAAUAAAUUAUGUUUUUCCCUUUAAUUAUUUCUCAAAAAAAUAUAUUAACUGAACAUACAGUAUUUAAAACAUUGCAUAAUGAUUUGAUUAUGUAAUUCUAGAGGAAAAUAAUUGGAAGAUUUUUGCUGUGCUGCAUGGAUAAACACAUUGGAAUUAUUUGCAAGUUUCAGAAAUGCUGAUAUGUUCCUAUAUCAUAACUUUCUUACUGUUACCUGUAUGACUGUUGCAGUGCAUGAGCUAAACUUCUGCUUGAAUAAAGAUUUGUGUUUCCCC